UACGUAGGUGGCAAGCGUUGUUCGGAAUUAUUGGGCGUAAAGGGCGCGUAGGCGGUUGUUAAGUCGGCUGUGAAAGCCUGGGGCUCAACCCCAGAGGGUCGGCCGAUACUGGCAAACUAGAGUACGGAAGAGGUAGCUGGAAUUCCCGGUGUAGCGGUGAAAUGCGUAGAUAGUCGGGAGGAACACCUGAGGCGAAGGCGGGCUACUGGGCCGAUACUGACGCUGAUGCGCGAAAGCCAGGGAGCGAACGGG
rnacentral:rRNA from 1 species